UCACACAAGAGACCCAAAUUAACUGUAUAUCCGGCGUAAAGAGUGGUACCACGAUAUCAUGAUAACUAGGAUUGAAAUGCAGCUAGGCUGUCAUAAGCUCAAGAUGCACUUAAAGCCACCUUUAAGAUGAUCCUAGCACCUUUGAUUAAUUUAACCCCACGAAAGCUAGGGCACAAACUGGGAUUAGAUACCCCAUUAUGCCUAGCCCUAAAUCUUGAUGCUUACCACACCAAAGCAUCCGCCCGAGAACUACGAGCACAAACGCUUAAAACUCUAAGGACUUGGCGGUGCCCUAAACCCACCUAGAGGAGCCUGUUCUAUAAUCGAUAACCCACGAUUCACCCGACCACCCCUUGCCAGAGCAGCCUACAUACCGCCGUCGCCAGCCCACCUCCCCUGAGAGUCCUACAGUGAGCACAAUAGCCUAAACCCGCUAAUAAGACAGGUCAAGGUAUAGCCCAUGGGGUGGAAGAAAUGGGCUACAUUUUCUAUAAUAGAAAA
rnacentral:rRNA from 1 species